rnacentral:rRNA from 1 species
UACGGAGGAUGCAAGCGUUAUCCUGAAUUAUUUGGCGUAAAGCGUCUGUAGGCGGAUGUUCAAGUCUGCUGUCAAAGACCGGGGCUUAACCCUGGAAAGGCAGUGGAAACUGAAGAUCUAGAGUGUGGUAGGGGCAGAGGGAAUUCCCAGUGUAGCGGUGAAAUGCGUAGAGAUUGGGAAGAACACCGAUGGCGAAAGCGAUCUGCUAGGCCAAAACUGACACUAAGGUACGAAAGCGAGGGGAGCGAAUGGG